rnacentral:rRNA from 1 species
UACGUAGGGUGCAAGCGUUAAUCGGAAUUACUGGGCGUAAAAGCGUGCGCAGGCGGUUUUGUAAGUCUGUCGUGAAAUCCCCGGGCUCAACCUGGGAAUUGCGAUGGAGACUGCAAGGCUAGAAUCUGGCAGAGGGGGGUAGAAUUCCACGUGUAGCAGUGAAAUGCGUAGAGAUGUGGAGGAACACCGAUGGCGAAGGCAGCCCCCUGGGUCAAGAUUGACGCUCA